UUAGUACUCCCUUCGUCCCAAAAUUCUUGUCUUAAAUUUGUCUAGAUACGGAUGUACCUAAUACUAAAACGUGACUUGAUACAUCCGUAUUUAGACAAAUUUAAGACAAGAAUUUUGGGACGGAGGGAGUACCUU
rnacentral:pre_miRNA from 1 species